AAAUCACUUUGUUCAUUAACUUUUCUCUUUGUUUUUGCUUCUGUUUUAAUCUUUCAAACACUUCAACAAUCGGUUUUGAUUGUUUUUUUAACUUUGUUGCUGAUUAAAAACCAAUAUACCCUACUACUUUUGUCCAUAACAACCGCAACAUCACCUCCAACUUACAACAAUUUGAUACAGUUUGGGAGAGUUUGAUGGGCAGUGUGGUGACAAAGGCUUCCAACGGCUCUUCUACUCUCAAGUACGCAACCGAGAAAGCAAAUUUUAUAGCAUCUAAAACUAUAUAUGCAUUAACGCAGUGCAAUCCAAAAUUAGCACACAAUAAUUGUGAUUCCUGCCUAAGGGAAUUGGUGUUUCUAUAAAGUAUGCUACCAUCAGAAGCAAGGAGCUCGUAUUCAGAACCCCAACUGUUGGUUGGGGUGGGAUUUGCAUGGUUUUUAUGUACCAAAUCCAGCUACUACUGCUCCAUGUUUUUCUCCACCACUCGCACCUGGUACUUCUCUCACUAUAACAAAAGAUGAAAAGAAACUAAAUAAAUCAAUCUGGGUUCCAAGUUUAUCAGCGGCUCUUGGACUAGCUCUGCUUUCUGCUUACUAUUUCUUCCUCUAGAAAAGGAUAAACAUUCAAGAGGAUAAAGAAGAUACCCAAGAAGUUCAAUUACUUGACUUGGUACUGGGAAGCGUUCCUCAUGAGAACUCGAGCGGAGAUUUUAAUUUAGAAAACGUGGGAAGAUCUCUGGACUUUCCUUCUAUUCAAUUGGAUAUUUUACAAGCAGCGACGAAUAACUUUUGUGAUGAAAAAAAGCUCGGACAAGGUGGAUUUGGCCUUGUGUACAAGGUAAUUAUGAUUAGGAUUUUUUGUUACACAGUGAACAACUAUGUAUGUUAUUUUGUUAAUUUCCAGGGCACACUACCAAAUGGAAAAGAAAUUGCAAUUAAAAGGCUUUCAAUAACUUCCGAUCAAGGGCUGCUUGGCUCUUAGGAUGUUGCUUAGAGAAAAACAAAAUGUUGCUUGUAUAUGAAUCCAUGCCCAACAGAAGCCUUGACAUGUUGUUGUUGGGUUUGAUACUUGAACCUUUAAAUAGCAUCAUUAUCUUGUACAUGAAAAAAUUUUAAUAUGUGAUUAGGUGUGUCGUUUUCUCUCCUUUUUGGGCAUUUAUCAGAUUCAAGCUUGGCUAUGCAAUUAACUUGGCAAAAAUGAUUUAGCAUUAUUAAAGGAAUUGCACGAGGAAUCAUGUAUCAACAUGAAGAUUCUCGUCUUAAAAUUAUCCACAAGGAUCUUAAAGCAAGUAAUGUUUUACUUGAUCAUGAAAUGAAUCCGAAAAUUUCAGACUUCGGUAUGGCAAAAAUUUUUGGUAGAGAUCAAAAUCAAGCAAAUACAAAUAGAAUAGUUGGAACAUAGUAAGUGUUUUAGACUCUUCCCCAAAAACUCAUGUAUAGUUUGACAUUUUCUUUAUUAUUAGUUGUUGCCAAUUUCAACUUUCCAAGAAAUAUGUACUCUGUAUCAAUAUCAUGUAAGUUAGAAGGAUCCCAUGUAAGAAAUGGAUCUAGUAUGUUUCAUGGCUAGCAGUUAAAAAUUAGUUUGGGGUUUUUAAAGUUUUAUAUGAUUAUCUAAUUUUGUUUUAAUUUUUCAUCAUUGUUUCUUAUGAAAUAAAAUAGUGGAUAUAUGGCACCUAAAUAUGAUAUGGAAGGACUUUUUCAAUCAAAUCUGAUGUUUUUAGUUUUGGAGUAAUUUUGUUGGAGAUCAUAAAUGGAAAACAAAAUAAUGGGUUUCAACUUUAGGAACACGGUGAAAGCCUCUUGACAUUUGUAUGUUUUCUUAUCCUCUCUAUCUUCAGUAAAUAGACUAAUACUAUAUUAUAUACAUUAGGCUAAUUCUAAGUAAUAAUUGUAGGCAUGGAAACUAUGGUCAAAAGGUGAAGGAAUGGAAUUAAUAGAUGAGCAUCUUGUUGAGUCGAGUGUGCCCGCUGAGGUGCUUAAAUGCAUUCAAAUUGGAUUAUUGUGCGUGCAAGUAGAUCCAGCAAAUAGACCAACUAUGUCAACUAUCGUUUCCAUGUUGGGGAGUGACAGUAUAACGCUUCCUAUACCAGCAGAACCUACAUUUUAUGGUGGACAUUUUGUUGCAAAACCAAUUCAACCCAAUUCAAGUGAUAAAAUUCAUUGAGUUAGGCUCAAUUGCAAAACUUCAAUUACAUGCUUUCCUCCCGGCUUAGGUCAAACAACAAUUAAAGUCUCUAAUAUCCCAUCACAUAAUUUUUUGCUCAUCAAUUUCACAUAAAGUGUAAAAAUUGGCCAUCACCAUCUCCCUGGAAUAGGACUUUUAAGCUCUAAUAUCUCAUACAGUAGUCUUUCUGUUCAUCGAUCUCACACAA